UACGGGGGGGGGUAAGCGUUGUUCGGAAUUACUGGGCGUAAAGGGCUCGUAGGCGGCCAACUAAGUCAGACGUGAAAUCCCUCAGCUUAACUGGGGAACUGCGUCUGAUACUGGAUGGCUUGGAUUCGGGAGAGGAAUGCGGAAUUCCAGGUGUAGCGGUGAAAUGCGUAGAUAUCUGGAGGAACACCGGUGGCGAAGGCGGCAUUCUGGACCGAUAUUGACGCUGAGGCGCGAAAGCGUGGGGAGCAAACAGG
rnacentral:rRNA from 1 species